GAUGAACGCUGGCGGCGUGCUUAACACAUGCAAGUCGAACGAGGUAUAAGGACGGAAGUUUUCGGACGGAAGAUCUUAUACUGAGUGGCGGACGGGUGAGUAACGCGUGGGAAACCUGCCCUGUUCCGGGGGAUACCAGUUGGAAACGACUGUUAAUACCGCAUAAGCGCACAGCACCGCAUGGUGCAGUGUGAAAAACUCCGGUGGAACAGGAUGGUCCCGCGUCUGAUUAGGCAGUUGGCAGGGUAACGGCCUACCAAACCGACGAUCAGUAGCCGGCCUGAGAGGGUGAACGGCCACAUUGGGACUGAGACACGGCCCAA
rnacentral:rRNA from 1 species